rnacentral:rRNA from 1 species
GAUGAACGCUGGCGGCGUGCCUAAUACAUGCAAGUCGAGCGAAUGGAUUAAGAGCUUGCUCUUAUGAAGUUAGCGGCGGACGGGUGAGUAACACGUGGGUAACCUGCCCAUAAGACUGGGAUAACUCCGGGAAACCGGGGCUAAUACCGGAUAACAUUUUGAACCGCAUGGUUCGAAAUUGAAAGGCGGCUUCGGCUGUCACUUAUGGAUGGACCCGCGUCGCAUUAGCUAGUUGGUGAGGUAACGGCUCACCAAGGCAACGAUGCGUAGCCCACCUGAGGGGGUGAUCGGCCACAGUGGGACGGAGACGCGGCCCAGACUCCUACGGGAGGCAGCAGUAGGGAAUCUUCCGCAAUGGACGAAAGUCUGACGGAGCAACGCCGGGUGAGUGAUGAAGGCUUUCGGGUCGUAAAACUCUGUUGUUAGGGAAGAACAAGUGCUAGUUGAAUAAGCUGGCACCUUGACGGUACCUAACCAGAAAGCCACGGCUAACUACGUGCCAGCCGCCGCGGUAA